rnacentral:tRNA from 1 species
AGCCGGCUAGUUUAAUAAAAAUAUUUGAUUUCGGCUCAAAAGCCUAUGGUUAAAGUCCAUAGCCGCCUA